UCCUCAACUGCAGCACCUCGAUCCUUGGUCCAAUGACCAUCUACUCUAAUGAAACCCAUACGUCGAAGGGAGUGGUCAUUGUAGGUAUUAGUGUUCAGCAACCGGCACACAGCUUUCCCCUCAAAACUCACACUAGACUGCCUAAAAAUAACUGUCAGGGCCAUUCCAUAAGGCAAGGGAGCUUUGGAUCUAUUCAAGACCUUCCUCCUGGC
rnacentral:lncRNA from 1 species